AAGUAGAUAGACAGCCGACAACUGAUGACGGGUCGUUCGCUGUGUUGCUUGUCCUGUUUCCCAUUUAUUUUUCUCGUUGUUUGCGUAUUGAACUCAUUGUUUUCGUAGUUCAUGUUGGAAAAUAGAACAAGU